CCUACGGGAGGCAGCAGUAGGGAAUCUUCCACAAUGGGCGAAAGCCUGAUGGAGCAACGCCGCGUGGGUGAAGAAGGUCUUCGGAUCGUAAAACCCUGUUGUUAGAGAAGAACGUGCGUGAGAGGAACUGUUCACGUUUCGACGGUACCUAACCAGAAAGCGACGGCUAACUACGUGCCAGCAGCCGCGGUAAUACGUAGGUGGCAAGCGUUAUCCGGAUUUAUUGGGCGUAAAGGGGUCGCAGGCGGUUUUUUAAGUUUGGUGUGAAAGCCUUCGGCUUAACCGGAGUAGUGCAUUGGAUACUAGGAGACUAGAGUGAGGAAGAGGAGAGUGGAACUCCAUGUGAAGCGGUGAAAUGCGUAGAUAUAUGGAAGAACACCAGAGGCGAAGGCGGCUCUCUGGUUUGUAACUGACGCUGAGGUUCGAAAGCGUGGGUAGCAAACAGGAUUAGAUACCCGAGUAGUC
rnacentral:rRNA from 1 species